UACAGAGGUCUCAACCGUUGUUCGGAUUCAUUGGGCGUAAAGGGUGCGUAGGCGGUCGUGCAAGUCGGAUGUGAAAUCUCAGGGCUCAACCCUGAAACUGCAUUCGAUACUGCGUGGCUAGAGUGCUGGAGAGGAGACUGGAAUUUACGGUGUAGCAGUGAAAUGCGUAGAUAUCGUAAGGAAGACCAGUGGCGAAGGCGGGUCUCUGGACAGUUCCUGACGCUGAGGCACGAAGGCCAGGGGAGCAAACGGG
rnacentral:rRNA from 1 species